AAGAAGAAGAAGCACUCCCCGCCACCAGAUCAACCAUCGACAGUAGAAACACCGACAGAAAAGGGAGAAGCCGGAGGAGCUGGACAGAUCUAAAAAACAAAAUAAAAACGACUGCUUGGGUGUUUUCUCUUGUUGCAGGUCACGGUGAAAGCCACCACGGACAGGGAAGAGAAGAGGGGAGGAAGCCAUUACAGCCCCCUCACGCCGCCUGAAUUUUAGGGCGGCGCGUGAACC
rnacentral:lncRNA from 1 species